rnacentral:lncRNA from 10 species
CAUCUUGCAGCAGUGCACCUCAGGAAGAUGACAGGUGCAAAGUCUGCCUUUCUGUAUGAAUUGGGAGAAUGGCCAUCAUGAGAGAGGAGAUGGGACGGCCCAACCAGCUUCAUGUCUUCCAUGGCUUGGCACCUUCUAAGGCUAGUCAGUUUUAGGUGACUGUGUACUGGGGUCUUCAUAGGGCAGAUCUCCACCAUGUCAUGCAGAGAUGCAGUGCUGUCUUCUGAUCAGGAAUUAUGCUCUUCCACGGCACUCUGGCUCAUUCCACAGUCAAUAAUGUUAAAUGGAGUGAAAAUGUAGGUCAGUGGAGCUAACUUGGAAGUCUCCAGGACAACUCUUCCUCCAAAUCCAUUGGAAAACAUGAAGCAACAGGCAGAAAUGCCAAGGAUUUGACUGCUAAAUACCAGAUAAGUAAGCUGCUCCCCCAAAAAGUCUUCAGCAUACUAAGCAAGUCGUUUACUGGAAGAAAUUUAAACCUUUUUUAAAG